rnacentral:rRNA from 1 species
UGGGGAAUAUUGGACAAUGGGCGAAAGCCUGAUCCAGCCAUGCCGCGUGUGUGAAGAAGGUCUUCGGAUUGUAAAGCACUUUAAGUUGGGAGGAAGGGCAGUAAGCGAAUACCUUGCUGUUUUGACGUUACCGACAGAAUAAGCACCGGCUAACUCUGUGCCAGCAGCCGCGGUAAUACAGAGGGUGCAAGCGUUAAUCGGAAUUACUGGGCGUAAAGCGCGCGUAGGUGGUUUGUUAAGUUGGAUGUGAAAUCCCCGGGCUCAACCUGGGAACUGCAUCCAAAACUGGCAAGCUAGAGUAGGGCAGAGGGUGGUGGAAUUUCCUGUGUAGCGGUGAAAUGCGUAGAUAUAGGAAGGAACACCAGUGGCGAAGGCGACCACCUGGGCUCAUACUGACACUGAGGUGCGAAAGCGUGGGGAGCAAACAGG